rnacentral:tRNA from 2 species
GGUAGAAUGGCUGAGAUUAAGCGUUGAACUGUAAAUUCAAAGACAGAGAUUGAGUAUCUCUUUUUACCA